rnacentral:rRNA from 1 species
ACGCUCGACACCUACGGGAGGCAGCAGUGGGAAUAUUGCACAAUGGGGGAAACCCUGAUGCAGCGACGCCGCGUGGAGGAAGAAGGUCUUCGGAUUGUAAACUCCUGUUGUUAGGGGAAAAAGAGGAUGGUACCCAACAAGGAAGUGACGGCUAACUACGUGCAAGCAGCCGCGGUAAUCUGAGCGGNUGCAAGGC